CCUACGGGAGGCAGCAGUAGGGAAUCUUCCACAAUGGACGAAAGUCUGAUGGAGCAACGCCGCGUGAGGGAAGAAGGGUUUCGGCGCGUAAAGCUGUGUUGGUAGGGAAGAAAGAUAGAGGAAGUAACUGGCCUUUAUUUGACGGUAAUUACGUAGAAAGUCACGGCUAACUACGUGCCAGCAGCCGCGGUAAUACGUAGGUGGCAAGCGUUGUCCGGAUUUAUUGGGCGUAAAGCGAGUGCAGGCGGUUCAAUAAGUCUGAUGUGAAAGCCCUCGGCUCAACCGGAGAAUUGCAUCAGAAACUGUUCAACUUGAGUGCAGAAGAGGAGAGUGGAACUCCAUGUGUAGCGGUGAAAUGCUUAGAUAU
rnacentral:rRNA from 1 species